rnacentral:rRNA from 1 species
GCUGGUGGCUAUACCAGCGAGUGAACACCCGAUCCCAUCCCGAACUCGGAAGUGAAAAUCGCUUGGGCCGAUGGUACUAUGACUUAAGUCCUGGGAGAGUAGGUCGUUGCCAGCU